UCAAAUGCGGUGAUCAGGGAUCAUUCGCGCGAAAGAAAAUGUAUGUGUUGGGGUCCAAGAAAAAAUCAAAAAAAAAGUUUUGGGGUUCAAGAAAAGAAAAGCAAAAAAAUAAAUAAUAAUAAUUCCCAGCGGAGCGCAAAUUGUUCGUUUGUUCUUGGUAUUCAACCACUCUUCACCCUGAUCAUCUGAAAGUCGAGGCUGUUCAUAUCGACAGGUUCACAGUGGAUUGAAUAGGGGCAGCCCUUGAA
rnacentral:lncRNA from 1 species